AGGGGAAGUAUUAAGCUAAAUCAACUAUUUUUAGUUUCACUUUUUUUUAUGUUAUUCCCUCAUCUAAAACAUACCUUGACACUUUCAUGCAUGAUUUCUAAACAAUUUUGGAUUUGACAGGUUUCAUUACAAAUCAAAGAGGAAGUGAUGUCACUGUAGGUGCAGGAACUGAGCCAAUGGUAGCUCAGGUUCAGUCUCCUGACCAGGAGGAGUCUGUGAACUCUCUGCAGACUUUUAUUGGAAGCACUCUGAGACUGGGAUUUAUCCUCUUCAUCCCUGCUGUGCUGCUUGCUGCUGGUUACAGAGUUUGGAGAUCUAACCAGGAAGCAGAGACUGAAGGAAGGUUGGACCAAUCAGAGGAGGAGAGCAGCUCUGUGUGAAAAUGAAGAACAAUCAUCAGAUUACUGUGAUCCCCAACCUUCUCCAAUGUUCCUCUUUCGGGACUUAAUYGUCAGAGUGGCAUAAAACCGAAAAGUCUUCAUCUAUUAUGUUUUCUCUGUCAUAASUGAAGCAUGAAAUGUUCAYCUUAAGAACAGAAAGAUGUUGAAGAUUGCCUUUUUUCUUACCCUCRUUGUGUUUAUUUUAUYGAGAUUUUGGUUUUGAUCAACCAUUCUUGAGGUCACUUUUCUUCUGCUGAUGUAUUUCUAUCUUCAUUCUAAAUUCUUACAGCAACUCAAGAAGUUCAGCCUUCUAAUCUGCUAAUCAUGUUUUCUGUCUCUAUUAUUCAGUCUGUCAAGUAGUCAUCAAUCACUGUGUAGCUUGGCAAGGACACAGGUCAAGGCCAUUUUCUUCCCCCACUACUCAGCUGCUAGGAAACAAAAGUUAAGUCCCUUAACAUCAAACCUUCUUUUUKCUUUUUUGCUUAAAAAAUGAUGGCAAAUAUGUACAUAUAUUCUUYUGUCCUUAUUUUAUUUCCUCUAAGCCUAUUGCAUUUAAAUACUUUUCAUACUGUGAGUGUUUGAGACCUAAAUCUGUUUCCUCAUUUUCGCAUUCAAACUUGGUCAGUAAAGUUGUUCUGAGUAUAAAUAAAUGUGGCAAAUCACGAACUGUA